UUUAACUAGUAGUUUUUUUAGGUAUAGUGUAUUUCCGAAAAGGAAAAAUAAAUCCCAUAUUGAUUCUCAACAAUUACUCGUAUUGCUUUCAUCGCAAAAACCAAACGACGACAAGAUGGCGUUGUAAACGUCGAUGUGGCAGUUUCAGCUGUGCAAGCUUUCUUUAUACAACUGGAAAUAUUGUUUACGUUUACAAUGAACACAACCAUCCAAGUGAAAUGAUUGAUACAGUAAAUUUAAGCUCACAAAAUGUUAAAAUACUUAAGGGAAACAGAAAAACAGAAAACACAUUUUAAUUACAUACAAGCAUUUAUGGAAAGGUGUUGUGUAUUUCCGAAGAGGAAAGGUAAAUCCCAUAUUGAUUCUCAACAACUACUCCUUUUGCUUUCAUAUUAAAAAUCAAAAUACAACAAGAUGGCGCUGUAAAAGACGAACUGGCAAUUUCAACUGUCCUAGUUUUCUUUAUACAACUCAAAAUAUUGUGUACGUUUACAAUGAACACAACCAUCCAUGUGAAAUUAUUGAUACAGUAAAUUUAAGCUCACAAAAUGUUAAAAUACUUAAGGGAAGCAAAAAGACAAAUUACCAAUUUUAAUUACAACCAUUUAUGGAAGGGUUCCUAAUAAAAAUAUUUUUAAGCUUCA
rnacentral:lncRNA from 1 species